ensembl:piRNA 21ur-5129 ncRNA
UAGUCACGUAAAGUUUUUUUU